GACCUCAAAUCAGGUAGGAACACCCGCUGAACUUAAGCAUAUCAAUAAGCGGAGGAAAAGAAAAUAACAAUGAUUCCCCUAGUAACUGCGAGUGAAGAGGGACAAGCUCAAAUUUUAAAUCUGUCAGGUUUUACCUAACCGAGUUGUAAUUUGAAGAAGCGUUUUCCGCGUAUUUGGUCAACCCAAGUCCUAUUGAAUGAGGCAUCAUGGAGGGUGAUAAUCCCGUCCGGUUGAUCGUUGCGUUUUACGAUACGCUUUCUAAGAGUCAAGUUGUUUGGGAUUGCAGCUUAAAAUGGGAGGUAAAUUUCUCCUAAGGCUAAAUAACGGCGAGAGACCGAUAGCGAACAAGUACCGUGAGGGAAAGAUGAAAAGAACUUUGAAAAGAGAGUUAAACAGUACGUGAAAUUGUUGAAAGGGAAACGAUUGAAGCCAGUCGUACCUGCGGAUAAUCAACCUUUAGAUGCGAUUUUGUGGAGUGUGAGGAGCUAAUCGCCUUCAUGCCUGUAUAUAUUCGUGUACUUGGGGUGUACUUAUUCGUGAGGUAAGUUAACAUCAAUUUUGGUGGUCAUAAAAUGACUGGAGGAAUGUAGCUUCGAUCUCGUAUUGAAGUGUUAUAGCCUUCGGUAGAUGUGAUGAUUGAGAUUGAGGAUUGCAACGGAUACCCUUCGGGGCUACCUGUCUGGUCUCUGAUCGUUGCUCUGGUGCCGAAAGCUUGCUUACGGUUAUCAAAGUCGAUGGUCAAUAGGUUAGAACGGGUUAAAUUCGUUAAGGAUGUUGACGUAAUGGCUUUAAACGACCCGUCUUGAAACACGGACCAAGGAGUCUAACAUGUAUGCGAGUGUUA
rnacentral:rRNA from 1 species